rnacentral:tRNA from 1 species
GGCGGCAUAGCCAAGGGGUAAGGCAGAGGUCUGCAAAACCUUUAUCACCGGUUCAAAUCCGGUUGCCGCCUCCA